GAAGCAUAUUUCCAGUCUCCCCAGACCCUUCCAACAGGCUACCAGCCCAGACACUCACGGCCUUGCAUCCUCCUUGUCUUCAGUGUUGUCGUCCUUCCCUCGGCAGCAGCAGCAGUAGAUGAUGAUGCCAAUGAUAAUGAGGGCUGCAACCACGCCCACCGCGAUGCCCACAUACAGGGCCACGUUCAUGGAGGCUGCAAGAGGACAGAGCAGCUGCACUUGCCGAGCUUCUAAGCUAGCUCCGGGUCUCCUCCCAGCCAGGGGAGCAGCAGCUACCAGCUUCUGGUAACACUCCAUGAAAGGCAUGGUCUUGGAGGAAUGUGACCAGCCAUGGCCCAGGAAUAUUCUUCAGGAUGGAGGUGCAGACAGAGACAUAUGGUCCACUUCACAUCUUAACACUUUCCGGGCUACCCUGGCUCUGCAAAAGUCCUCAGAUGUCAGCCCAGCCAGCUCUUUAAGCUAGAUUUGGUGUCUCACCCCAGAAGGAUGUGGUCCAGACUCUGCGGCAGCUGCCCUGGGCACUUCCUCCACGCCCACCGAGUGGUUCCUAGGCAGAAAAUCUUUAGCUGCUGAUCACAGCUAUAAACGAGAUGAGGAGGGUCCCUGUCCUCUUGGUGUUUCCAGUCUCCCAAAGAAGACAGACAUGAAACAAUGAUGGUUACAGUUCAAGAUGGAGGAUUCUCCCUUUUGGAUAAUGAAAGAACUAAGUUUUGGCUUCUAACAACCAGAAGAGUCUCCCUGUGGAGGCAGGAGAGAACUGCAGCUGGGCUGC
rnacentral:lncRNA from 1 species